rnacentral:rRNA from 1 species
UACGUAGGGUGCGAGCGUUAAUCGGAAUUACCGGGCGUAAAGCGUGCGCAGGCGGUUCGUUAAGUCAGAUGUGAAAGCCCCGGGCUCAACCUGGGAACUGCAUUUGAAACUGGCGGGCUUGAGUAUGGCAGAGGGGGGGUGGAAUUCCGCGUGUAGCAGUGAAAUGCGUAGAGAUGCGGAGGAACACCGAUGGCGAAGGCAGCCCCCUGGGCCAAUACUGACGCUCAGGCACGAAAGCGUGGGGAGCAAACAGG